AGGGUUAAGAUGAAAGAGUGUUUUGACAACAUGGUGCUUUUCCUCAACCAACAUAAAGUAAAGUGAUGGUUUCCCAUAUAGUAGGUCACAAGAAAGAUGCAAGAAUUCGUGAAUAUGAACAUUGGAAAAGCACCACUAACUGAAAGAUGUGUUUUAUGUACAUUAUAAAUCUAAUAUUGUAAAAAAAAACUGUGUUCCUCAAAUAAAAUAUCAUAAGUACUA